rnacentral:lncRNA from 1 species
GGUGAACCAAAACCUAGGGCACGAAAUUAAUUGAAUUCCGAACCAAAUCAACGCUUCCUUCUUGCAAUAAUUCUAGCUGCUGCAUAUUGCAACCGGGCAAUGAUUUUUGGACAGGCUUGGUGGUGCAAUUUGGCGAUGCGUGAGAGGUGAACCAAAACCUAGGGCACGAAUUUAAUUUAAUUAUGCACCCUUAAAACAACGCUUCCUUCUUGCAAUAAUUCCAGCUGCUGGCAUUUUUUGGACAGGCUUCGUAGUGCAAUCCAACGACAAACCCGAAGCUCAGGCUGUAGUUGUGUAAGAACUCCUCGUUCUCGAAGAUUUGAUGCCAACGAACGGUACGUUCAUGUGGUUGUGAAGACCAAAAAUCCACAAUUCCAGAAAACAUACCCGAAGCACAUUCCUCUUUCUGUUAAAGAUCCUGCCUGAGCUCCGGCAUUGCAAUUAAGUUUCGUCCUUUAAUUUCUCCUUCUGGAGAGGUAUAACAAACUGACGUGGAAUAGGAAAACCAUUCUACCCUGCUUUGAGUGCAAUAUUGUGGGAUAAACUUUGUUAAACAUAUAAUAGAGAACUUGGAAAAAUUGAUUUUGUGUACGACAUUAUUGUCCAAAAAUCCCUGUGUACCUAGCGAAAUUUCAGAAAACCUUCAAAAAUAUGCUUCGACCACCGAAAUUAGUUGGGUUGCUAAAUAUGGCUUUAAAUGGAUCAGACUUGGACCGCCCGUUUUUGUUCUCAUUAUAUUUGAAUACUUUGGUUUUGGGUUGGGAUAUCAUAUAAUGAUGAUGAUAAAAGAAAGAAGUAAUCAGAUGCUUCCUUCUUGAAUUCCUAGCAGGAUUGAUUAUUGUAGUAUUAAUUUGAUGAAUAUUUAUGAAAUACGGCUUACAAUUAUACUUGCAUCUAAAUACACAAUUGCCACUGCUAUUUCACACGGUUUUCCAAUACCUUUCUAAAAUAUUAACGCUAACUGAUUUCUAUGGCGCUAUAUUUUAAUUGCAAUAAAAAAAUUUAAUUUUUUUUUUAUUAUAAUAGUUGUAUUUCAACUAAUUUUUUUUCCUUGUCAACUUUUUAUUAAUGAACACUUAUUCUGCUUUAUGAUACUUUUUUUUUAUUAAAUAUUCUAUUAGUAUAAUUUGAGAUGAUGAUGAUGAUAAAAGAAAGAAGUAAUCAGAUAGGAUUCACACAUGGAGACAUAAAUAUAAAUUGGCAAACUUUGAUUACGAUCCGGAAAUAUUUCUCCCAUAUAGUAUACAGUAGGUACAUAUUUAAGUUAGUGAAGUUGGCACUUCAUAAGACUAGGCUUCCGCUCCUGCUUUUCGUAGAUAUAUAUUAAAGUUAGUGGAGUUGCCACUUCGAAGUGUAGGCUUCAAGCUCCUGGUGUUCGUAUUGAAUGUCAUUUGUUUUACCCAUGAUUCUUAUUGAUUGUCGUUUGUUUUCUAUUGAGGAUUUAAACCUAAUCUACCUCGUUUAUGUGACUUUUUGUUUACUUGUGUAACAACUACUAUGGACGAAGUGCAGAUCGACCAUGAUGAUGUGUUGGCUGAAUCCGAUUAUGAGAAUGUUACGGUCUCCGUUAACGUUGUGGAUGGUGAAAACUCAGUGGGGGAUGGUGUGAUUGUGCCUGAGGUAGGCAUGGAGUUUAAGGAGUUAAAAGACAUGUUUGUCUUCUACAAGAAAUCCGCUUAUGCAAUUAGAUUUCCAAUUAAGAAAAGGAAUUCGAAAAAGGGGGAUGACGGAGAGUUAAGAUAUGUAACCUUCACAUGUAGCCGUGAAGGUCAAAGAAUCGGUAAUAGUAGCGGUUCCUUCAAGCCCUAACCAACAAUACAGAUGGGUUGCAAAGGCAGGAUAUCUGCAUCAUCAGAUGUUCAUGGGGGUAUGGAGAAUUAACAAGGUCCACCUCGACCACAAUCACGAAACUAGUCCAUCGAAAUCUAGGUUAUAUCGAUGUAACCGAGAAUUGAGUUCACACGUGAACAUAAGCUUGAAGUCAAUGAUUUAGCUGGAAUUCCGUUGCAUAAAAGUUUCAAUUCUGUCGUUGUCGAAGCAGGUGGUUAUGAGAACUUGAGUUGCAUUGAGAAAGAUUGUCGAAACUAUGUUGAAAAAGUUAGGCGUUUAAGACUUGGUGAAGGGGAUGUCGUUGCAAUACAAGCAUACUUUGCAAAGAUGCAAACACAUUGCUCGGGAUUUUACUUUAGCAUGGAUUUAGCUGAUGAAUCCCGACUAAAAAAGUCUUCUGGGCCGAUAAUCGGUGCAGGCAAGCGUAUAAGGAAUUCGACGAUGUUGUUACUUUUGAUACCACGUACCUGACAAACAAGUAUGACAUGCCGUUCGCCCCGUUUGUUGGCGUCAAUCAUCAUGGACAGUCAACAUUACUUGGUUGUGGGUUGUUGUCGAGCGAAGAUACAGAUAAUUUUAUCUGGUUGUUCAAAAUAUGGCUACAAUGUAUGCAUGGUCAAGCACCUCAUGGAAUAAUUACCGACCAAGAUCGGGCCAUGCAAAAUGCCAUUCAAAUCAUUUUUCCAAACACAAGGCAUAGAUGGUGUCUAUGGCAUAUUUUAAAGAUGGUGCCUGAAAAAUUUGGGUACCAUGAUGACAAGUCUUCGAUAUUUGGUGCUACACAUGUAUUAGUUUAUGAUUGUCAAUUUGUUGAAGAAUUUGAGAAUGGGUGGGCUGCGAUGAUUGACAAGUACAACUUGCAGGAUAAUGAAUGGUUAUUUGGGUUGUAUGAGAACAGAAGUCGUUAGGUUCCAUGUUUUUUUAAGACCACUUUUUGGGCAGGGAUGUCGAUGAUAGAGAGGAGCGAGAGUAUGAAUGCGUUCUUUGAUGGUUACGUGCAUUCGAAGACCACGCCGAAGCAAUUUGUAGAACAGUACGAAGUAGCACUGCGAUGUAAGGUAGAGAAAGAGUUCCAGGCUGAUUUCAAAUCUUUUUCGCAAAUGGUCCCAUGUGCAAUGCAAUGCGAAAUUGAGCUACAAUUUCAGUCAGUUUAUACCAUUGCAAAAUUCAGGGAAGCUCAGGAUGAGUUCACGGGGAAGGUUUACUGCAAUGUCAUAUCUACUUUGGAAAGAGAUACGUUGACGAUGUAUGAGGUGCGCGAGGAUGUUAUGCAUGAGGGGCGACGAAGGAAAAAAACAUUCUUCGUCUCAUUUGAGAGAGAGAACUAUGACAUCGUUUGUAGUUGCCAUUUGUUUGAGUUUAGGGGAAUUCUUUGUCGCCAUUCAAUUACAGUUCUUAUUCAUUGCGAUGUCACAUCCCUUCCGAAGAGGUACAAACUGCGGAGAUGGAGAAGAGACGUUAGUGGGGCACAUACCAGAGUCGCCGUAAAUUAUGAUGGUUUGAUCAGCUCUCCUAAGCAAUUGAGAUAUGAUGAACUGUGUCAUGAGUUUGCAAAACUGGCUGACCUUGCUGCAGAUGACGAAGGGCGGUCGCGUGUGAUACUGGAUUGGAUAAAACUUCAGUGCAAAGAUCUUUCGAUGUUGAAAAUGUCGCACAGUGGAAGCAAUGUGAUCGCACAUCAUACUAUUCAAGUAGCCGAUCAGUGUACCAACUCCCAGAACGAUGCCAGCGUGAAAAUAAGAGAUUCGAAAUUGUCGCGUAGAAAGGGAGCGCCCAAAAAACUGAGGACAAAAGGUCCACUGGAGUCGAGUUCGAAGAACACAAAGGUAAAUUUGAUUUAAUUUAUUAAAAAAACACAUAUCCAAAUAUUUGAUUGUAAUGAAUACUUUCACACUACAUAAAUUUACAGUCAGCAUCAAGCAAAGGAAGGAGACCUAUUGGACGACAUACUGGUACACAAGAGAGCACUGUCCACGUUCAUGAAGCUCAAAAACAAAACUACUCAAUGCAGCCUCCGCCUCCUUGCCUACAAUAUUCGAUGCCAUCAACAUUUCCCGUCUCACAGUAUACUUUU